rnacentral:rRNA from 1 species
GACGAACGCUGGCGGCGUGCUUAACACAUGCAAGUCGAACGGACAGGCCCUGCUUUUGUGGGGUGCUCGAGUGGCGAACGGGUGAGUAACACGUGAGUAACCUGCCCUUGACUUUGGGAUAACUUCAGGAAACUGGGGCUAAUACCGGAUAGGAGCUCCUGCUGCAUGGUGUGGGUUGGAAAGUUUCGGCGGUUGGGGAUGGACUCGCGGCUUAUCAGCUUGUUGGUGGGGUAGUGGCUUACCAAGGCUUUGACGGGUAGCCGGCCUGAGAGGGUGACCGGCCACAUUGGGACUGAGAUACGGCCCAGACUGCUACGGGAGGCAGCAGUGGGGAAUAUUGCACAAUGGGCGGAAGCCUGAUGCAGCAACGCCGCGUGCGUGAUGACGGCCUUCGGGUUGUAAACCGCUUUCGCCUGUGACGAAGUGUGAGUGACGGUAAUGGGUAAAGAAGCACCGGCUAACUACGUG